rnacentral:rRNA from 1 species
AACGUAGGAGACAACCGUUAUCCGGAGUUACUGGGCGUAAAGGGCGUGUAGGUGGUUAUGUAAGUCUGGCGUGAAAUUUUUCGGCUUAACCGGGAAAGGUCGUCGGAUACUGCAGAACUAGAGGACGGUAGAGGCGUGUGGAAUUCCGGGUGUAGUGGUGAAAUGCGUAGAGAUCCGGAGGAACACCAGUGGCGAAGGCGACACGCUGGGCCGUACCUGACACUGAUGCGCGACAGCAUGGGGAGCAAACAGG